rnacentral:rRNA from 1 species
CAAAUUUAAAAUCUGAUAGUCUUUGGCUGUCCGAGUUGUAAUCUAGAGAAGUGCUGCCCGCGCUGGACCGUGUACAAGUCUCCUGGGAUGGAGCGUCAUAGAGGGUGAGAAUCCCGUCUCUGACACGGACUACCAGGGCUUUGUGGUACGCUCUCAAAGAGUCGAGUUGUUUGGGAAUGCAGCUCAAAAUGGGUGGUAAAUUCCAUCUAAAGCUAAAUAUUGGCGAGAGACCGAUAGCGAACAAGUACCGUGAGGGAAAGAUGAAAAGAACUUUGGAAAGAGAGUUAAACAGUACGUGAAAUUGCUGAAAGGGAAACGCUUGAAGUCAGUCGCGUUGGCCGGGAAUCAGCCUUGCUCUUUUGCAUGGUGUACUUCCUGGUUGAUGGGUCAGCAUCAAUUUUGACCGCUGGAAAAAGGCUUGAGGAAUGUGGCAGCUUCGGCUGUGUUAUAGCUUCUUGUCACAUACAGCGGUUGGGAUUGAGGAACUCAGCACGCCGCAAGGCCGGGUUUCGACCACGUUCGUGCUUAGGAUGCUGGCAUAAUGGCUUUAAGCGACCCGUCUUGAAACACGGACCAAGGAGUCUAACAUGCCUGCGAGUGUUUGGGUGGAAAACCCGAGCGCGUAAUGAAAGUGAAAGUUGAGAUCCCUGUCGUGGGGAGCAUCGACGCCCGGACCAGAACUUUUGGGACGGAUCCGCGGUAGAGCAUGUAUGUUGGGACCCGAAAGAUGGUGAACUAUGCCUGAAUAGGGUGAAGCCAGAGGAAACUCUGGUGGAGGCUCGUAGCGAUUCUGACGUGCAAAUCGAUCGUCAAAUUUGGGUAUAGGGGCGAAAGACU